UCCCUGGUAGUAUAUCGGUUAGUACACGCGCUUGUCACAUGUGCCAUAUGGAAGCUGGUGUCGCGCGAAAGCUGGGUUCGACUCCCAGCCAGGGAG